UACGUAGGGGGCGAGCGUUGUCCGGAAUCAUUGGGCGUAAAGCGCGUGUAGGCGGCCCGGUAAGUCCGCUGUGAAAGUCCAGGGCUCAACCCUGGGAUGCCGGUGGAUACUGUCGGGCUCGAGUCCGGAAGAGGCGAGUGGAAUUCCUGGUGUAGCGGUGAAAUGCGCAGAUAUCAGGAGGAACACCAAUGGCGAAGGCAGCUCGCUGGGACGUGACUGACGCUGAGACGCGAAAGCGUGGGGAGCAAACAAG
rnacentral:rRNA from 1 species